AUGCUAUGGAAGGGUGAAUUCUCACUAAAAGGCGACAUGCAUGUCACUAACCAUGUUAAUUUAUCGCUAAGAUUUCCUGACCCCAAUGGUUGUUUUAAGAAUGCCGAGUUCCCGUUCAAUGUGGACCAAGAUACCAGCCUUUCUGUGGCUCUGGAAAUGGUCUACACUUUUGGACGGUGGCGGCGGAGGCAGAGGCUAUGGCUCGAUAGCGAGACGAGUCUGUUGAGAAUAGCCAGCGACGGGCUCUUUUCUUUCGCUUGCUCUGUUUUAAAAAAAGAGGGAACUUGUGAUCCAUCUGCGCGCAAUGAGCUGGAGGCGGGGGGCACAAAAGGACACUAA
rnacentral:rRNA from 1 species